GGCCUGGUGGUGUAGGUGGUUAGCAUACGGCAGCUUGCUGAGACGCGGGUUUGAGUCCCGCCCAGGUCC